UCUGCAACAAUGCGUUCAAGCAUAUGGGGAGUACAUUGAAAUCCCGUCCUUUAUUCCAUGUAGCAGAAAGGAUUGACUGGUUGCCUUGUUUUUUGUAAACUAUGGCCUGAUUAGAAGCAGGAUUAUAUAUUACCCCAGAAAUCAUUUAGUAUAGCAAGUUCUAAGCGACUUUCACUCUCUCGUCCCCUCGGUAAUGGAUUGUGUUAAAUUUGGCAG
rnacentral:lncRNA from 1 species